rnacentral:rRNA from 1 species
GCCUAAAUCUUAGCCCCCCCCUCCUACCCACACUUCUAUAAACAAAUAAAACAUUUUUUUAUCUAGUAAAGGCGAUUAAAAAAUACAUCGGAGCUAUAAAAACAGUACCGCAAGGGAAACAUGAAAUAAAAUGAAAACUCAAAGCAAAUUAAAGCAAAGUUUAACUCUUGUACCUUUUGCAUCAUGAUCUAGCCAGUUUAACCAGGCAAAACGCACCUAAAGUUUGACACCCCGAAACUAGACGAGCUACUUUAAAACAGCCCACGGGGCAAACUCAUCCCUAUUGCAAAACGGUGAGAAGAUUUUAAAGUAGAGGUGACACACCUACCGAGCCUAGAGAUAGCUGGUUAUUCAAAAAACGGAUAUAAGUCCAACUUUAAGUUUUUUUAGUCUACUAAACAAUUAUCAAACUUAAAAGCCAUUCAAAUAAGGUACAGCCUAUUUGAAUAAGGAAACAACCUACAAUAUAGGGUAAUAAUUAACAAGCAUGACCAAGUAGGCCUAAAAGCAGCCACCUCCAAAAGCGUCCAAGCUUCCUCAUAAACUAUAUUUUAUCCCACUAUUAACCCCCAACCCUUAAACCCCCACUGAAUGACCCCAUACCCAUAUGGAAGACAUCAUGCUAGAACUAGUAACAAGAAGACGAACUUCUCCAAAAUGCAAGCGUAGGCCAAAAUAAACUUCUUGCCGGCAUUUACCACUAUAACAGUACAUUUUCACAAGAAAACUCUACUAACACAAGCGCUAACCUAACACCAGAGCAUUACUGGAAAGAUUAAAAGGAGGGGAAGGAACUCGGCAAACCCCAGCCCCGCCUGUUUACCAAAAACAUCGCCUCUUGAAAGUAUAAGAGGUCUAGCCUGCCCAGUGACUAAUAGUUAAACGGCCGCGGUACCCUAACCGUGCAAAGGUAGCACAAUCACUUGUUCUCUAAAUCAGGACUAGUAUGAACGGCCCAACGAGAGCUAUGCUGUCUCCCCCCCCUAAUCAGUGAAACUGAUCCCCUCGUGAAGAAGCGAGGAUGCCCCAAUAAGACGAGAAGACCCCAUGGAACUUUAAACUAGUACCACCCCUUACACUAAGGCCACUUGACUACUAGUCUUUCGGCUGGGGCGACCACGGAGAAAAAUAAAACCCCCGAGAUGAAAGGAAAUAUCCUUAUCCCAGAACUACUAUUCAAAGAAUCAAUAAAUGACAUAAUUGACCCAAUACUUGAUCAACGAACCAAGCUACCCUGGGGAUAACAGCGCAAUCCAUUUCAAGAGACCUCAUCGACAAAUGGGCUUACGACCUCGAUGUUGGAUCAGGGUAUCCUAGUGGUGCAACCGCUACUAAGGGUUCGUUUGUUCAAC